rnacentral:piRNA from 1 species
UCCGAGGACUGAUGAAACAAAGGGCAGUC